CCUACGGGAGGCAGCAGUGAGGAAUAUUGGUCAAUGGCCGGAAGGCUGAACCAGCCAUGCCGCGUGAAGGUCAGUGCCCUAUGGGCGUUAAACUUCUUUUGUGCGGGAGCAAUAAUGGUCACGUGUGGCCAGACGAGUGUACCGUACGAAUAAGGAGCGGCUAACUCCGUGCCAGCAGCCGCGGUAAUACGGAGGAUCAAAGCGUUAUCCGGAUGUAUUGGGUUUAAAGGGUGCGUAGGCGGUUUGAUAAGUUAGAGGUGAAAUACCGGUGCUCAACACCGGAACUGCCUCUAAUACUGUUGAAGUAGAGAGUAGGUGCGGUAGGCGGAAUGUAUGGUGUAGCGGUGAAAUGCUUAGAGAUCAUACAGAACACCGAUUGCGAAGGCAGCUUACCAAACUAUAUCUGACGUUGAGGCACGAAAGCGUGGGUAGCAAACAGGAUUAGAUACCCUGGUAGUC
rnacentral:rRNA from 1 species